rnacentral:rRNA from 1 species
CGGCGGACGGGUGAGUAACACGUGGAUAACCUACCUAUAAGACUGGGAUAACUUCGGGAAACCGGAGCUAAUACCGGAUAAUAUUUUGAACCGCAUGGUUCAAAAGUGAAAGACGGUUUUGCUGUCACUUAUAGAUGGAUCCGCGCUGCAUUAGCUAGUUGGUAAGGUAACGGCUUACCAAGGCAACGAUGCAUAGCCGACCUGAGAGGGUGAUCGGCCACACUGGAACUGAGACACGGUCCAG